AACGAACGCUGGCGGCAGGCCUAACACAUGCAAGUCGAACGCUCCAGCAAUGGAGAGUGGCAGACGGGUGAGUAACGCGUGGGAACCUUCCCUAUGGUUCGGAAUAGCUCAGGGAAACUUGAGGUAAUACCGGAUAAGCCCUUCGGGGAAGGAUUUAUCGCCAUUGGAUGGCCCGCGUAGGAUUAGCUAGUUGGUGAGGUAACGGCUCACCAAGGCGACGAUCCUUAGCUGGCUGAGAGGAUGAUCAGCCACACUGGAACUGAGACACGGUCCAGACUCCUACGGGAGGCAGCAGUGGGGAAUAUUGGACAAUGGGCGCAAGCCUGAUCCAGCCAUGCCGCGUGUGUGAAGAAGGCCUUC
rnacentral:rRNA from 1 species